CCGGUUGAUCCUGCCGGACCUUACUGCUAUCGGGGUGGGACUAAGACAUGCGAGUCGAGCGUCUCCAAACUAUGUUUGAGACGCGGCAUACGGCUCAGUAACACGUGGCUAACCUACCCUCAGGACGAGGAUAACCCCGGGAAACUGGGGCUAAUACUCGAUAGGCGAGGAAUCCUGGAAUGGUUCCUCGCCCAAAGGGCUUUGGAAACAUGCUUCCAAAGUCGCCUGGGGAUGGGGCCGCGUCCGAUCAGGUUGUUGGUGAGGUAACGGCUCACCAAGCCUUUAACCGGUACGGGCCGUGAGAGCGGUAGCCCGGAGAUGGGUACUGAGACAAGGACCCAGGCCCUACGGGGCGCAGCAGUCGCGAAAACUCCGCAAUGCACGAAAGUGUGACGGGGCUACCCCGAGUGCCAUCCGCUGAGGAUGGCUUUUCCUCGGUGUAACUAGCCGGGGGAAUAAGGAGAGGGCAAGACUGGUGUCAGCCGCCGCGGUAAUACCAGCUCUCCGAGUGGUAGGGAUGUUUAUUGGGCUUAAAGCGUCCGUAGCCGGCUUAGCAAGUCUCCUGUUAAAUUCAGCGACCUAAUCGUUGAGCCGCGGGAGAUACUACUAGGCUAGGAGGCGGGAGAGGUCGACGGUACUUCCGGGGUAGGGGUGAAAUCCUAUAAUCCCGGGAGGACCACCAGUGGCGAAGGCUGUUGACUAGAACGCGCUCGACGGUGAGGGACGAAAGCUGGGGGAGCAAACCGGAUUAGAUACCCGGGUAGUCCCAGCUGUAAACGAUGCGGGCUAGGUGUUGGGGUGGCUACGUGCCACUUCAGUGCCGCAGGGAAGCCAUUAAGCCCGCCGCCUGGGGAGUACGGCCGCAAGGCUGAAACUUAAAGGAAUUGGCGGGGGAGCAC
rnacentral:rRNA from 1 species